GAUGAACGCUAGCUACAGGCUUAACACAUGCAAGUCGAGGGGUAACGAGAGGAAAGCUUGCUUUCCUUGUCGACGACCGGCGCACGGGUGAGUAACGCGUAUCCAACCUGCCCCCAACUAAGGAAUAACCUUGCGAAAGUAAGACUAAUACCUUAUAAUUUCCUCAGAUGUCAUCUGACGAGGAAUAAAGAUUUAUCGGUUGUGGAUGGGGAUGCGUCUGAUUAGCUUGUUGGCGGGGUAACGGCCCACCAAGGCAACGAUCAGUAGGGGUUCUGAGAGGAAGGUCCCCCACAUUGGAACUGAGACACGGUCCAAACUCUUACGGGAGACAGCAGUGAGGAAUAUUGGUCAAUGGGCGGAAGCCUGAACCAGCCAAGUAGCGUGCAGGAUGACGGCCCUAUGGGUUGUAAACUGCUUUUAUACAGGAAUAAAGUUAGCCACGUGUGGUUAUUUGUAGGUACUGUAUGAAUAAGGACCGGCUAAUUCCGUGCCAGCCGCCGCCGUAA
rnacentral:rRNA from 1 species